rnacentral:rRNA from 1 species
AGAGUUUGAUCAUGGCUCAGAUUGAACGCUGGCGGCAUGCCUUACACAUGCAAGUCGAACGGCAGCACGGGGGCAACCCUGGUGGCGAGUGGCGAACGGGUGAGUAAUACAUCGGAACGUGCCCAGUCGUGGGGGAUAACGCAGCGAAAGCUGUGCUAAUACCGAAUGUGCCCUUCGGGGGAAAGAUUUAUCGCCAUUGGAGCGGCCCGCGUUGGAUUAGCUAGUUGGUGGGGUAAAAGCUCACCAAGGCGACGAUCUGUAGCGGGUCUUAGAGGAUGAUCAGCCACACUGGGACUGAGACACGGCCCAGACUCCUACGGGAGGCAGCAGUGGGGAAUUUUGGACAAUGGGGGCAACCCUGAUCCAGCCAUGCCGCGUGAGUGAAGAAGGCC